ACUUAAAUUGAAGAGUUUGAUCAUGGCUCAGAUUGAACGCUGGCGGCAGGCCUAACACAUGCAAGUCGAGCGGUAGCACAGAGAGCUUGCUCUCGGGUGACGAGCGGCGGACGGGUGAGUAAUGUCUGGGAAACUGCCUGAUGGAGGGGGAUAACUACUGGAAACGGUAGCUAAUACCGCAUAAUGUCGCAAGACCAAAGUGGGGGACCUUCG
rnacentral:rRNA from 1 species